rnacentral:rRNA from 11 species
CAACUUUCAGCAAUGGAUCUCUUGGCUCUCGCAUCGAUGAAGAACGCAGCGAAUCGCGAUAUGUAAUGUGAAUUGCAGAUCUACAGUGAAUCAUCGAAUCUUUGAACGCACCUUGCGCUCCUCGGUGUUCCGAGGAGCAUGCCUGUUUGAGCGUCAGUA